AUUGAACGCUGGCGGUAGGCCUAACACAUGCAAGUCGAACGCGAAAGUCCUGGAUGAGUAGAGUGGCGGACGGGUGGAGUAACGCGUAGGAAUCUAUCCUGUAGUGGGGGAGUAACGUUUCGAAAGGAACGCUAAUACCGCAUACGCCCCAACGGGGGAAAGCGGGGGAGUCUUCGGACCUCGUGCUAUAGGAGGAGCCUGCGUCGGAUUAGCUAGUUGGUGAGGUAAAGGCUCACCAAGGCGACGAUCCGUAGCUGGUCUGAGAGGAUGAUCAGCCACACCGGAACUGAGACACGGUCCGGACUCCUACGGGAGGCAGCAGUGGGGAAUAUUGCGCAAUGGGCGAAAGCCUGACGCAGCCAUACCGCGUGUGUGAAGAAGGCCC
rnacentral:rRNA from 1 species